ACAGUUACAGUCUUGAAGAAUGUGUGGCCAGUCUUGAAGUGCAGGCCUUUAAAGAGCAUGGAAGGGGCAGCAUCUGGCGAUCUACCUUUGCCUCGGGGAGGACAGGCCACAGUAACAAUCCACACAGUGUCAUUUCUUUAAUGAAUAGAAAGAAAGAAAGAAAGAAAGAAAGAAAGAAAGAAAGAAAGAAAGAAAGAAAGAAAGGAAGGAAGGAAAAGAGUGACCCAUUAACGUUUGUUGGCUGCUUAUGAUGUUCCAAGCACCAAGCGAAGAGUUCUCCAAAAAUAAUCAUGAGAGUGGAGAUGGGGUUUCACCAUGUUGGGCAGGAUGGUCUUGAUCUGCUGACCUUGUGAUCGGCCUGCCUCAGCCUUCCAAAGUGCUGGCAUUACAGUGCUCCAUGAUAUCUGAUGACAGGAGACCUUCUGCCUCAAGAAUGAGUGUUACAUAGGUACCUCAGCAACAUAACCAGGUCUGCAUCGCUUGAAAGGCGCACCAAUCCUGGAGUCCCUUCAGUUCGGAUAAAUUGGAUCUUCUCCCUAUUCAAGAAAAGAAAAAGCACAAAAUGUAUAUGAUAAACCUUCGGGCUAUAACUCAGUAGCAAAGAGCAUUUUCUGUAACAGUUAUAACAUCUCUAGGAAUACAUAUCCAAGAGAGGCAUGGUCUUUGCCUUCAAGGGAAGGUCCUGUGAUGAGCAUCAACACCUCCCAGUUCUAACGUUGUGGGAGAAAGACUGUUUUAUUGCUUUCAUCGUUUUGCUGCCCAAAUACUACUAUAAAUAGUAUACCAUUCAACCAAUAAAAUCAGUGUCUGC